rnacentral:rRNA from 1 species
AUGGUGGUGGCGCAAGCCCCUGACCAGCAGGAAACAAAAUCCCCAAUGGAGCGUCUCAAAGAGGGUAUGGAUACCGAGCUGCGACUUUUUGCCGGCCACCGUGAAUACUGGCAAGAUACAAACUGCAGCAAGACCGGACGGUGCGGUCGGUUCCAAGAUAAAACCACUUUGAGUCCUAUGCAGUUUACACACUACACACCUGGUAUCACCCUGCCCCCUGCUGCUGUCACUGGGACAACCGUGCAGAUCUACUCCUUCAAAAUUACUCGACUGCACAAUGACCUCAAGUGGCCACUCUAUGUCUACGGCGAGGUCGCUGCCCGGGACACCGUGGACCGCAACCGCAACCUUCUCUUCUGUCGGUCAAAGUUUUAUGGCCAAGUACUCACUGAAAAUGACUCUUCCCUAUGCUUGACUGGCCCUUCUCGUGCAAUUGUAGCCGAGGAUCACGUUGUCUUUGAAGUCAAACUAAGAAUUAUUGAGGGCGAUGAUGAGAUCAAAGACAGAGUAUUGAUGAGUCUUAGCAAGCGUUACGACGGUUCAGAACAACCUUUAUGCUUCCAUGGCUCCAUGUGUAGUGCAGAGUUGAGCCUUGGGCGACUUGCUGCAACGGUCCAGGCAACUAUCGUGGGGGUUUGUGUUGGUAAAGGGAGGUGGCCUUUUGAAUGCGGAGGCCGAGUUACUUGCUCCUUGUAUUCUGCAGAAGUUGAUGAUCACUCGUGUGAUGAAGUUGUUUUGCUUGAUUCCGCAGAAAAAAUUCCUGAAGAUGGUUUAGAUGGGUAUAUUUCUCUUUCAAGGAACGUUGUGUCAGUACAAUUGCAAGGACGGUUGAAAGUUAGCAUACAAGGCAUACGAGUAUACGGGGAAUCUGAUCCUCCAGUUGAUGUUCACUUCCAUCCCCAGGAUUGCAACGUAUGUAUGGGUAGUUGUUUUGUCUAUGGCACUAAGGUGGACAUCACGGUUGCUUGGUCCCGGAUUGUCCGAGACAAGAUGGAUUUACUAAUUGAGGGUUAUUCUUAUCAGGCGUAG